rnacentral:rRNA from 1 species
UACGGAGGGGGCUAGCGUUAUUCGGAAUUACUGGGCGGAAAGCGCACGUAGGCGGCUUUGUAAGUAAGAGGUGAAAGCCCGGAGCUCAACUCCGGAACUGCCUUUUAGACUGCAUCGCUUGAAUCCAGGAGAGGUGAGUGGAAUUCCGAGUGUAGAGGUGAAAUUCGUAGAUAUUCGGAAGAACACCAGUGGCGAAGGCGGCUCACUGGACUGGUAUUGACGCUGAGGUGCGAAAGCGUGGGGAGCAAACAGG